rnacentral:misc_RNA from 1 species
ACACAAGCUGUUAAAUUAGAUGUUUGGAAAGAGGCUAUGGCUAAUGAAAUCUCAGCUUUAAAGCAAAAUCAUACUUGGAAGCUUGUUAAUUUGCCUCCUGGAAAGGUACCUAUUGGCUGUAAAUGGGUUUAUAGGAUUAAAUAUAAAGCAUAUGGUACUAUAGAGAGAUACAAGGCUAGGCUUAUAGGAAAGGGAUAUACUCAGACUAAAGGAAUUGAUUUCUUUGAUACCUUUAGUCUUGUUGCUAAAAUGACUACAAUAAGAAUUCUUCUAGCUCUUGCUACAAUUAAUGGUUGGUACUUGCAACAACUUGAUGUUAAUAAUGCUUUUCUUCAUGGAGAUUUGCAUGAGGAGGUGUAUAUGGUAUUGCCACCUAGUUUCCAAUCUCUUGAACCUAAUCAAGUUUGCCAAUUACAAAAAUCUCUAUAUGGUUUAAAACAAGCUAGCCGUCAGUGG